GCUCCAGUGGCGCAAUCGGUCAGCGCGCGGUACUUAUAAUGUCGAGGUUGUGAGUUCAAGCCUCACCUGGAGCA